rnacentral:rRNA from 1 species
GACGAACGCUGGCGGCGUGCUUAACACAUGCAAGUCGAACGGAAAGGCCCUGCUUUUGUGGGGUGCUCGAGUGGCGAACGGGUGAGUAACACGUGAGUAACCUGCCCUUGACUUUGGGAUAACUUCAGGAAACUGGGGCUAAUACCGGAUAGGAGCUCCUGCUGCAUGGUGGGGGUUGGAAAGUUUCGGCGGUUGGGGAUGGACUCGCGGCUUAUCAGCUUGUUGGUGGGGCAGUGGCUUACCAAGGCUUUGACGGGUAGCCGGCCUGAGAGGGUGACCGGCCACAUUGGGACGGGGAUACGGCCCAGACUCCUACGGGAGGCAGCAGGGGGGAAUAUUGCACAAUGGGCGGAAGCCUGAUGCAGCAACGCCGCGUGCGGGAUGACGGCCUUCGGGUUGUAAACCGCUUUCGCCUGUGACGAAGCGUGGGUGACGGUAAUGGGUAAAGAAGCACCGGCUAACUACGU